GUAAAAUGUUCCGCAAUUGUCCCGCUUCACGUCCAGGACAGAGUUAACAUAAUUAAUUUUUGCAUUUAUAAUUUAAUUUAUGAAAUAAUUAAUAUUCUUUAAAUGUGGAGCACGUUUUCACCUGGUUAUCGUCGAAGAUUAAAUUUAAAUUGAUUGCUGAGGAUACUAAAUUUAGAAGAGUGCAAUUCUCAAACCGUAUUAAAGAUGCUUUGUCAAGAAAUAAAGUAGUAAGGGAAAGAGUGUUUCCAGUUUGCUUUCCUUCAAAAAGUUCUCAUACUGGUCAUUUUACUAGAGAUAUCUGAUAGCAAUAUAUGAAGGAUCACACUCUCUAUUUUCUGAAACCAUCUGCGUGCACUUCAAUUGCAGGAUAUAUGAUUGCCUAUGGAAUCAAUUAGAGUUAAUUGGAAAUGAGCAAGUUGUGCUGAUGUAGGAGUCACUGCAUACUUUAUAUGUAGAUACAUUCAUACGUAAAGAAAAAGAGAUAAAAGUAUAUGGUUGGCUAUAAUAUGGAAAGUUUAAAAAGUUAAAAUCCACAAAGCAUAAAGUAUAAAUAUGGAAUCUGGAAGCACUGAAAAAGCAUUGUAUUGAAUCUGGAUACUUUGUAGAGAGAAAAAUAGUAAAUAACACAAGAUACGAUCAUAAUGUUAAUAGACUACUGGUGUUGAUUCUAAGAGAUAUGUUUGGCUAUAAUCAAAAGAAUGCGAGAAAAAACGCAAAAA
rnacentral:lncRNA from 1 species